AACGAACGCUGGCGGCAUGCCUAACACAUGCAAGUCGAACGAGACCUUCUGGUCUAGUGGCGCCCGGGUGCGUAACGCGUGGGAACCUGCCCUUAGGUUCGGCAUAACUCCCCGAAAGGGGUGCUAAUACCGGAUAAUGUCUUCGAACCAAAGAUUUAUCGCCUUUGGAUGGGCCCGCGUUGGAUUAGCUAGUUGGUAGGGUAAAAGCCUACCAAGGCGACGAUCCAUAGCUGGUCUGAGAGGAUGAUCAGCCACACUGGGACUGAGACACGGCCCAGACUCCUACGGGAGGCAGCAGUGGGGAAUAAUGGGCAAGGGGCGAAAGCCUGAUCCAGCAAGGCCGCGUGAGUGAUGAAGGGCUUAGGGUUGUAAAGCGCUUUUAACCGGGAUGAUAAUGACAGUACCGGGAGAAUAAGCUCCGGCUAACUCCGUG
rnacentral:rRNA from 1 species